rnacentral:lncRNA from 8 species
AUGCAACAUGUCAGGAUCCCUCUGUUAACAAGGAAUCUGGUGUCUCUACUCCUACUACCAUUACUUCCUCAACGUCACUCCUUUCUUCCACUCUUCUCACCGCCUCCAGAUAGGAGGCAUUCUGGACAGCCCUUAUUCUCACCGCCUCCAGAUAGGAGGCAUUCUGGACAGCCCUUAUUCUCACCGCCUCCGGAUAGGAGACAUUCUGGACAGCCCUUAUUCUCACCGCCUCCGGAUAGGAGACAUGCUGGACAGCCCUUAUUCUCACCGCCUCCAGAUAGGAGACAUUCUGGACAGCCCUUAUUCUCACCGCCUCCAGAUAGGAGGCAUUCUGGACAGCCCUUAUUCUCACCGCCUCCAGAUAGGAGACAUUCUGGACAGCCCUUAUUCUCACCGCCUCCAGAUAGGAGGCAUUCUGGACAGCCCUUAUUCUCACCGCCUCCAGAUAGGAGGCAUUCUGGACAGCCCUUAUUCUCACCGCCUCCAGAUAGGAGACAUGCUGGACAGCCCUUAUUCUCACCGCCUCCAGAUAGGAGGCAUUCUGGACAGCCCUUAUUCUCACCGCCUCCAGAUAGGAGACAUUCUGGACAGCCCUUAUUCUCACCGCCUCCGGAUAGGAGGCAUUCUGGACAGCCCUUAUUCUCACCGCCUCCGGAUAGGAGACAUUCUGGACAGCCCUUAUUCUCACCGCCUCCAGAUAGGAGACAUGCUGGACAGCCCUUAUUCUCACCGCCUCCAGAUAGGAGGCAUUCUGGACAGCCCUUAUUCUCACCGCCUCCAGAUAGGAGGCAUUCUGGACAGCCCUUAUUCUCACCGCCUCCAGAUAGGAGACAUGCUGGACAGCCCUUAUUCUCACCGCCUCCAGAUAGGAGGCAUUCUGGACAGCCCUUAUUCUCACCGCCUCCGGAUAGGAGACAUGCUGGACAGCCCUUAUUCUCACCGCAUCCGGAUAGGAGACAUGCUGGACAGCCCUUAUUCUUGCCACCUCCGUCUCAUUCACCCUAA